GUCUAUGGCCAUACCACCCUGAUCCGGGAAGCUAAGUAGGGUCAGGCCUGGCCAUUACUUGGAUGGGAGACCACUUGAGAUUACAAGAUGCUGUAGUUU
ensembl:rRNA 5S_rRNA 5S ribosomal RNA